ACGCACAAAAAGAAGGAUGGUACGUUCGUUGAUGAGAGGUCAAAGAAAAUCGCUGACGAAAUACAAGCACGGCGUGAUGCUGCAAUGCAAGAGGUGGAAGGGUCAACUAAGCCACCAGUUAUAGACAUGUCACAGAUAAAGAAACAAGUAUUU